GAUUUUGUGGUGCAAAGGUAGCACACUUCAAAUCUGUGGAGAUGAAGGUUCAAAUCCUUCCAAAAUAU
rfam:Picea glauca, whole genome shotgun sequence.